rnacentral:rRNA from 1 species
GACGAACGCUGGCGGCGUGCUUAACACAUGCAAGUCGAACGCAGUGGCGAACGGGUGAGUAACGCGUAAUCAACCUGCCCUUCAGAGGGGGACAACAGGUGGAAACGACUGCUAAUACCGCAUACUGAAGGAGGGGAUGGCGUCUGAUUAGCAAGGUGGGGGGGUAACGGGCCACCAAGGCGCAGAGCAGUAGCCGGGCCUGAGAGAUGGACGGCCCAAUUUGGACUGGAGCCAGGCCCAAGCCCCUACGGGGGGGAGCAAUGGGGGAACUUCCGCAAUGGGCCGAAGGCUGACGGAGCAACGCCGGGUGAGGUGUGACGGCCUUCCGGUUGUAAAGCUCUGUUAAUCGGGGAGCGGUACCGAAAUAGAAAGCCACGGCUAACUACGUGCCAGCAGCCGCGGUAAUAC